rnacentral:rRNA from 1 species
GCUUGGAGCCACACCACCCUGAAUGCGUCCAAUCUCAUCUGAUCUCAGAAGCUAAGCAGGGUUAGGCCCGGUUAGUACUUGGAUGGGGGCAUUGCUUGGAGAUCAAAUUACCAGCU